rnacentral:snRNA from 1 species
CUUCGGGGAUCAUGCGAUAAAAAUUGAAACAUUUUGGAACAAGACAGGGAAGAUUAGCAUGGCGUCUGCGCAAGUAUGACAAGCACAAACCGUGAUGUGCAAUAUAGCGGC